rnacentral:rRNA from 1 species
UACGUAGGGACCAAGCGUUGUUCGGAUUUACUGGGCGUAAAGGGCGCGUAGGCGGCGCGGUAAGUCACUUGUGAAAUCUCUGAGCUUAACUCAGAACGGCCAAGUGAUACUGCAGUGCUAGAGUGUGGAAGGGGCAAUCGGAAUUCUUGGUGUAGCGGUGAAAUGCGCAGAUAUCAGGAGGAACACCAAUGGCGAGGGCAGCACUCUGGGACGUGACUGACGCUGAGACGCGAAAGCGUGGGGAGCAAACAGG